UAAUUACUUCCUUCGUCUUAAAGUUGUUGUCUUAGAUUUUUUAAAUAUGGAUAUAUCUAGAUACUAUAAUGUAACUACAUAUAUUUAUAUCUAGAUAAAUUCAAGACAAUAAUUUCAAGACGGAGGGGGUAUUAG
rnacentral:pre_miRNA from 1 species